AACCUACCCCGGUGUGGGGGAUAACGGGUCGAAAGACUCGCUAAUCCCGCAUACGAUCCGCCUCGGCGGAGGAAAGCCGUAAGGCGCACUGGGCGGGGGUCGCGUCCCAUUAGAUAGUUGGUGUGGUAAUGGCGCACCAAGUCGAUGAUGGGUCUCUGGUCUGAGAGGACGACCAGACAGAUUGGGACUGAGACACGGCCCAAACUCCUACGGGGGGCAGCAGCAAGGAAUUUUCGGCAAUGGGCGCAAGCCUGACCGAGCAACGCCGCGUGGAGGAUGACGGCUCUUGGGUUGUAGACUCCUUUUGGGGGGGACGAUAAUGACGGUACCCUCCGAAUCAGGCCCGGCUAACUACGUGCCAGCAGCCGCGGUAAUACGUAGGGGCCAAGCGUUGUCCGGAAUUACUGGGCGUAAAGCGUGGGUAGGUGGUCGGUGAUGUGCCGCGUGAAAGCGCCGGAGUAAUGCCGGCGAGGUCGCGGUAGACACACGGACUCGAGGCUCGCAGAGGAACGUGGAAUUCCCGGUGUAGUGGUGAAAUGCGUAGAUAUCGGGAGGAACACCAGUGGCGCAAGCGGCGUUCUGGGCGAGACCUGACACUGAGCCACGACGGCGUGGGGAGCAAACAGGAUUAGAUACCCUGGUAGUCCACGCAGUAAACGAUGCAUACCAGGUGUGGGAUGGCGUUCGCGUCGUUCCGCGCCGCAGCUUACGCGAUGAGUAUGCCGCCUGGGGACUACGAGCGCAAGCUUAAAACUCAAAGGAAUUGACGGGGGCCCGCACAAGCAGCGGAGCGUGUGGUUUAAUUCGACGCAACGCGAAGAACCUUACCUAG
rnacentral:rRNA from 1 species